GCGUGAGUGAUGAAGGCCCUAGGGUUGUAAAGCUCUUUCGCCAGGGACGAUAAUGACGGUACCUGGAGAAGAAGCCCCGGCUAACUUCGUGCCAGCAGCCGCGGUAAUACGAAGGGGGCUAGCGUUGUUCGGAAUCACUGGGCGUAAAGGGCACGCAGGCGGGUUGUCCAGUCAGGGGUGAAAUCCCGAGGCUCAACCUCGGAACUGCCUUUGAUACUGACAACCUUCGAGUCCGGGAGAGGUGAGUGGAACUCCGAGUGUAGAGGUGAAAUUCGU
rnacentral:rRNA from 1 species